UACGUAGGUGGCAAGCGUUGUCCGGAAUUAUUGGGCGUAAAGCGCGCGCAGGCGGUCCUUUAAGUCUGAUGUGAAAGCCCACGGCUCAACCGUGGAGGGUCAUUGGAAACUGGGGGACUUGAGUGCAGAAGAGGAAAGCGGAAUUCCACGUGUAGCGGUGAAAUGCGUAGAGAUGGGGGAGAACACUCGUGGCGAAGGCGGCCAGCUAGACCAGUUCUGACACUGAGGCGCGACAGCGUGGGGAGCAAACAGG
rnacentral:rRNA from 1 species